rnacentral:rRNA from 1 species
UACGAAGGGGACUAGCGUUGUUCGGAAUUACUGGGCGUAAAGCGCACGUAGGCGGAUUGCUAAGUCAGGGGUGAAAUCCCGGGGCUCAACCUCGGAACUGCCUUUGAUACUGACAAUCUCGAGUCCGAUAGAGGUGGGUGGAAUUCCUAGUGUAGAGGUGAAAUUCGUAGAUAUUAGGAAGAACACCGGUGGCGAAGGCGGCCCACUGGAUCGGGACUGACGCUGAGGAGCGAAAGCGUGGGGAGCGAACAGG